AGUCAACAUGCCCAGGGGACGUGGAUAACCUCGGGAAACUGAGGAUAAACCGCGAUAAGUCACUACUUCUGGAAUGGGUAAUGACUUAAAUCUAUAUGGCCCCUGGAUUGGACUGCGGCCGAUCAGGCUGUUGGUGAGGUAAUGGCCCACCAAACCUGUAACCGGUACGGGCUCUGAGAGGAGGAGCCCGGAGAUGGGCACUGAGACAAGGGCCCAGGCCCUAUGGGGCGCAGCAGGCGCGAAACCUCUGCAAUAGGCGAAAGCCUGACAGGGUUACUCUGAGUGAUUUCCGUUAAGGAGAUCUUUUGGCACCUCUAAAAAUGGUGCAGAAUAAGGGGUGGGCAAGUCUGGUGUCAGCCGCCGCGGUAAUACCAGCACCCCGAGUGGUCGGGACGUUUAUUGGGCCUAAAGCAUCCGUAGCCGGUUCUGCAAGUCUUCCGUUAAAUCCACCUGCUUAACAGAUGGGCUGCGGAAGAUACUAUAGAGCUAGGAGGCGAGAGAGGCAAGCGGUACUCGAUGGGUAGGGGUAAAAUCCGUUGAUCCAUUGAAGACCACCAGUGGCGAAGGCGGCUUGCCAGAACGCGCUCGACGGUGAGGGAUGAAAGCUGGGGGAGCAAACCGGAUUAGAUACCCGGGUAGUCCCAGCUGUAAACGAUGCAGACUCGGUGAUGAAUUGGCUUCAUGCCAAUUCAGUGCCGCAGGGAAGCCGUUAAGUUUGCCGCCUGGGGAGUACGGUCGCAAGACUGAAACUUAAA
rnacentral:rRNA from 1 species